UCGCAUCAGAUUUGAUAUUGAAAUUGCUAGCAACAUUUAGUGUUCCCCUACAAUGAAAUAUUUGAAUGGUGUUUAACAUAUCCUCUAGUAUUUUUGACUUAAAAAUGAAUUUGGAAUUUA